rnacentral:tRNA from 1 species
UCCCUUAUAGCUUAGUCAGUAAAGAAUCUGCCUGCAAUGCAGGAGACCCGGGUUCAAUUCCUGGCUUGGGAA